rnacentral:rRNA from 1 species
GAUGAACGCUAGCGACAGGCCUAACACAUGCAAGUCGAGGGGCAUCACAUGAGGCAGCAAUGCCGAUGGUGGCGACCGGCGCACGGGUGAGUAACACGUAUGCAACCUGCCUUCAACAAGGGGAUAACCCGUUGAAAAACGGACUAAUACCCUAUAAUACAGGGGUCCCGCAUGGGGAUAUUUGUUAAAGAUUGAUCGGUUGAAGAUGGGCAUGCGUUCCAUUAGCUGGUUGGUGAGGUAACGGCUCACCAAGGCAACGAUGGAUAGGGGAACUGAGAGGUUUAUCCCCCACACUGGUACUGAGACACGGACCAGACUCCUACGGGAGGCAGCAGUGAGGAAUAUUGGUCAAUGGACGCAAGUCUGAACCAGCCACGUCGCGUGAAGGAAGACGGCCCUACGGGUUGUAAACUUCUUUUGUAAGGGAAUAAAGUGUAGUACGCGUACUAUUUUGCAUGUACCUUACGAAUAAGGAUCGGCUAACUCCGUGCCAGCAGCCGCGGU